AAAAUUAGAAAAUAUUUACAAUUAUUUAUAGAAAUUAUAGAUUUUAAAGCGGCAAAAACUGCAUAUGCCUCUGCUGUAAAUAUGGAGCACUUUUUAUCGAGAGCAAAGCUUUGAGCAACAUCUUUUUGGGAAUCAUAUACCGCACUUCUCACAAAAUCAUUGCCUUUACUGCCAUCAGUUUAGAUUGUAUAAUACUUGUUAUUUUCUUCUAUAAAAGCCAGUAAAUCUGAAUUAUUUUCGAUUGAAUUUGAUAAAAUCGUAAUAGGAUGAGUGAUACAACUGUAUGAAUGAGUGUAACACGACCAGUGUGAAAGUUUUUUGAUGUUCGAAUAAUGAGAUUGUAUUUCUAAAAAAAUCUGGCACAGAGUUGGAGAUGUACCUCUCAGGAGACCAUUUGGUGAAGUGAGUGGACCAUCUAUAUUGAUUGGAUCCGAUAUGAGAGAAAUGAAGCUAUCAACACAACUUCUUCCUCUGCGAAAUCCAUAUUG